rnacentral:rRNA from 1 species
UGGACGUUACUCGCAGAAUAAGCACCGGCUAACUCUGUGCCAGCAGCCGCGGUAAUACAGAGGGUGCAAGCGUUAAUCGGAUUUACUGGGCGUAAAGCGCGCGUAGGUGGCCAAUUAAGUCAAAUGUGAAAUCCCCGAGCUUAACUUGGGAAUUGCAUUCGAUACUGGUUGGCUAGAGUAUGGGAGAGGAUGGUAGAAUUCCAGGUGUAGCGGUGAAAUGCGUAGAGAUCUGGAGGAAUACCGAUGGCGAAGGCAGCCAUCUGGCCUAAUACUGACACUGAGGUGCGAAAGCAUGGGGAGCAAACAGGAUUAGAUACCCUGGUAGUCCAUGCCGUAAACGAUGUCUACUAGCCGUUGGGGCCUUUGAGGCUNNAGUGGCGCAGCUAACGCGAUAAGUAGACCGCCUGGGGAGUACGGUCGCA